rnacentral:rRNA from 1 species
UUGCCCGGUAGCUAAAUGCGGAAGAGAUAAGUGCUGAAAGCAUCUAAGCACGAAACUUGCCCCGAGAUGAGUUCUCCCUGAGACUUUAAGUCUCCUGAAGGAACGUUGAAGACGACGACGUUGAUAGGCCGGGUGUGUAAGCGCAGCGAUGCGUUGAGCUAACCGGUACUAAUGAACCGUGAGGCUUAACCUUACAACGCCGAAG